rnacentral:rRNA from 1 species
UACGUAGGGGGCAAGCGUUGUCCGGAAUUAUUGGGCGUAAAGAGCGCGUAGGCGGUCCGAUAAGUCGGCUGUGAAAGUCAAGGGCUCAACCCUUGAAAGCCGGCCGAUACUGUCGGACUAGAGUCCGGAAGAGGCGAGUGGAAUUCCCGGUGUAGCGGUGAAAUGCGCAGAUAUCGGGAGGAACACCGGUGGCGAAGGCGUAGUGCUGGCCUGU